UGGGGAAUAUUGGACAAUGGGGGCAACCCUGAUCCAGCGAUGCCGCGUGUGUGAAGAAGGCCUGAGGGUUGUAAAGCACUUUAGUUGUUGAGGAAGGUUGUGUGGUGAAUACCCGCAUGACUUGACGGUAAACAAAGAAUAAGCACCGGCUAACUCUGUGCCAGCAGCCGCGGUAAUACAGAGGGUGCAAGCGUUAAUCGGAAUUACUGGGCGUAAAGCGUGCGCAGGCGGUUAUGCAAGACAGGUGUGAAAUCCCCGGGCUUAACCUGGGAACUGCACUUGUGACUGCAUAGCUGGAGUACGGCAGAGGGGGAUGGAAUUCCGCGUGUAGCAGUGAAAUGCGUAGAUAUCGGAAGGAAUACCGGUGGCGAAGGCGUCUUCCUGGACUCUAACUGACACUGAGGCGCGAAAGCAUGGGGAUCAAACAGGAUUAGAUACCCAAGUAGUCCCUGAGCGGGCUGGCAAGGCGCAU
rnacentral:rRNA from 1 species